UAGCUGACACCAUCAGGGUCCGCUUUGAUUUCAAGGGCAGCCAAGCGUGGAUUGAGCUUGCCAGGCACCUGCAGACAGCCUGGGAAUUCCCAGGGGGGCUCGCAGGGUUCCUCGCUCGUUGAAGCCAUGCCACCAUCGUCUUGACGAAGUCGACUCUGCCCGGGCUUAUUAGAGCGUUUAAUGACCGGGGGAGCAACAAGCCGCGACGUGCAAUCGGUGAUACUAGGAGGCUCUGCCCCUUGCUCGCUUCGCUCGCCAACCCCGGGGCGGGCAUUAUGUGCUAUCGGAUCUGUCGCUCGAGGAAUGGAAGUGGAGCUUCAUGAUGCUCCAACAAUGAUGGAC